rnacentral:rRNA from 1 species
CCUACGGGUGGCAGCAGUGAGGAAUAUUGGUCAAUGGGCGAGAGCCUGAACCAGCCAAGUCGCGUGAGGGAGUACGGCCCUAUGGGUUGUAAACCUCUUUUGUCGGGGAGCAAAAGCCGGACGUGUCCGUCUGUUAGAGUACCCGAAGAAAAAGCAUCGGCUAACUCCGUGCCAGCAGCCGCGGUAAUUCGGAGGAUGCGAGCGUUUUCCGGAUUUAUUGGGGUUUAAGGGGUCGCAGGCUGAUUUUUAAGUCAGCGGUAAAAUCGUGGGGCUCAACCCCAUCCAGCCGUUGAAACUGGGGAUCUAGAGUGUGCGAGAGGUAUGCGGAAUGCGUGGUGUAGCGGUGAAAUGCAUAGAUAUCACGCAGAACCCCGAUUGCGAAGGCAGCAUACCGGUGCACAACUGACGCUCAGGCACGAAAGCGUGGGUAUCGAACAGGAUUAGAUACCCUUGUAGUC